AACGAACGCUGGCGGCAUGCCUAACACAUGCAAGUCGAACGAGACCUUCGGGUCUAGUGGCGCACGGGUGCGUAACGCGUGGGAACCUGCCCUUAGGUUCGGAAUAACUCCCCGAAAGGGGUGCUAAUACCGGAUAAUGUCUUCGGACCAAAGAUUUAUCGCCUUUGGAUGGGCCCGCGUUGGAUUAGCUAGUUGGUAGGGUAAUAGCCUACCAAGGCGACGAUCCAUAGCUGGUCUGAGAGGAUGAUCAGCCACACUGGGACUGGGACACGGCCCAGACUCCUACGGGAGGCAGCAGUGGGGAAUAUUGGACAAUGGGCGAAAGCCUGAUCCAGCAAUGCCGCGUGAGUGAUGAAGGCCUUAGGGUUGUAAAGCUCUUUUACCCGGGAUGAUAAUGACAGUACCGGGAGAAUAAGCUCCGGCUAACUCCGUG
rnacentral:rRNA from 1 species